rnacentral:rRNA from 1 species
UACGUAGGGUGCGAGCGUUAAUCGGAAUUACUGGGCGUAAAGGGUGCGCAGGCGGCGUCGCAAGUCAGGCGUGAAAUCCCCGGGCUUAACCUGGGAACUGCAUUUGUGACUGCAUUGCUGGAGUGCGGCAGAGGGGGAUGGAAUUCCGCGUGUAGCAGUGAAAUGCGUAGAUAUGCGGAGGAACACCGAUGGCGAAGGCAAUCCCCCUGGGCCUGCACUGACGCUCAUGCACGAAAGCGUGGGGAGCAAACAGG